rnacentral:rRNA from 1 species
GAUGAACGCUGGCGGCGUGCCUAAUACAUGCAAGUCGAGCGAACAGACGAGGAGCUUGCUCCUCUGACGUUAGCGGCGGACGGGUGAGUAACACGUGGAUAACCUACCUAUAAUACUGGGAUAACUUCGGGAAACCGGAUCUAAUACCGGAUAAUAUAUUGAACCGCAUGGUUCAAUAGUGAAAGACGGUUUUGCUGUCACUUAUAGAUGGAUCCGCGCCGCAUUAGCUAGUUGGUAAGGUAACGGCUUACCAAGGCAACGAUGCGUAGCCGACCUGAGAGGGUGAUCGGCCACACUGGAACUGAGACACGGUCCAGACUCCUACGGGAGGCAGCAGUAGGGAAUCUUCCGCAAUGGGCGCAAGCCUGACGGAGCAACGCCGCGUGAGUGAUGAAGGUCUUCGGAUCGUAAAACUCUGUUAUUAGGGAAGAACAACUGUGUAAGUAACUCUGCACGUUUUGACGGUACCUAAUCAGAAAGCCACGGCUAACUACGUG